UAAAACAAGGAGUAAGAAGCGCUCACACAUUGCAGACAGGAGACCAGACUUUCUGCUGAGCCCAUCUUCAGCAGUGAGGACAGACAGCGCUCGGCCCGAUCAAUAAAACAAGGAGUAAGAAGCGCUCACACAGAAUGGACGGGAGACCAGACUUUCUGCUGAGCCCGUCUUCUGCAGUGAGGUCAGACAGCGCUCUGCCCGAUCACUAAAACAAGGAGUGAGAAGCGCUCACACAGAAUGGACGGGAGACCAGACUUUCUACUGAGCCCAUCUUCAGCAGUGAGGACAGACAGCGCUCUGCCCGAUCACUAAAACAAGGAGUAAGAAGCGCUCACACAGAAUGGACAGGAGACCAGACUUUCUGCUGAGCCCGUCUUCUGCAGUGAGGACAGACAGCGCUCUGCCCGAUCACUAAAACAAGGAGUAAGAAGCGCUCACACAUUGCAGACAGGAGACCAGACUUUCUGCUGAGCCCAUCUUCAGCAGUGAGGUCAGACAGCGCUCGGCCCAAUCACUAAAACAAGGAGUAAGAAGCGCUCACACAGAAUGGACGGGAGACCAGACUUUCUGCUGAGCCCGUCUUCUGCAGUGAGGUCAGACAGCGCUCUGCCCGAUCACUAAAACAAGGAGUAAGAAGCGCUCAUACAGAAUGGACGGGAGACCAGACUUUCUGCUGAUCCCAUCUUCAGCA